CACGUAGUUAGCCGUGGCUUAUUCCUUAGGUACCGUCACUUUCUUCGUCCCUAAGAAAAGAAGUUUACAACCCGAAAGCCUUCUUCCUUCACGCGGCGUUGCUGGGUCAGGCUUGCGCCCAUUGCCCAAUAUUCCCCACUGCUGCCUCCCGUAGGAGUCUGGGCCGUGUCUCAGUCCCAAUGUGGCCGGCCAACCUCUCAGUCCGGCUACUGAUCGUCGCCUUGGUGGGCCGUUGCCCCGCCAACUAGCUAAUCAGACGCGAGUCCAUCUCAGAGCGAUAAAUCUUUGGCAGUCAGAGCCAUGCGACCCAACUGCAUCAUGCGGUAUUAGCAGCUGUUUCCAGCUGUUAUUCCCCACUCCAAGGCAGGUUACUCACGCGUUACUCACCCGUCCGCCACUAAGUAGUCCUAUCAGUUGUCCGAAAACUCCUUCAAGGGUACUCCGUUCGACUUGCAUGUGUUAAGCACGCCGCCAGCGUUCAUCCUGAGCCAGGAUCAAACUCU
rnacentral:rRNA from 1 species